rnacentral:piRNA from 1 species
GGUAAAUGAUGAGGACUCUUCGGUGU